ACUAUUUUGGCAGAUAAUAUGUGUUGGAUUUAGGAUCCUUUGAAAUAGAGAUAAUUCUAUAAAUAGUU
rnacentral:tRNA from 1 species